CUGCCCCAGCACUCUCUGCCCUGCUGGGCUGCUUCUUAUAUUUUCCCGUCAUCCUUAGAACCUGCGGCCUUCCUUCCUACCUGGUCUCUUUGCUCACCUUCUUUGCCCGGAACUGCACUGUUCUUCCCCUUUGGGUUUUGUACAUCUUCAGUCCUUACGGCGGUAGCUCCCUUAAUACCUCUGCUAUGAGUCUUCACUGAUUUCUCUCUUCUUGAACGGUAAGCAGAGUGGUCUGUUUGGCUCCCUUUUCCUUCUGUGAUUAUAUCAUUAAUGCUGCUGCAGUGGUGCAUACUGGCCUGGAUGAAUCUCUUCAGUAACUUCCUUCCUGGGGCUGAUUAGUUGUCUCCUUAACCAAACGGUGGCUGGAAACAGUGGUUGGAACCGUUCUAAUGUCUAGAGCAGCACAUCAGUGCCAACCACAGCUCCAUUUCUGCAGAGGCUCCUGGCUGGGGUUGUCCUGACGCUUUGGCCUGAGCUUGGCACCUCCUGUCUGCAUCUGACUCACCAAGGUCCCUACUCAGAGGCCGGGAGCUGGGGCUGCUGCAGCUCCUGCCUGGCAGGCAGCUCUGCGUGGGACCCUCGCGAGCCUGGACCUGCAGGAGCUCGAUGCUGCGAGGCCAUGGACAGUGUCAACCAGGGCGAGGAAAGUGGGAGCAGGAGGAAACCAGGAGAGGCACGUCCCCUCUGUCUUCCUGCGGACCCUGCUUCCGUGGGCUCCUGUGUGGAGGCCAUAAGCAGUGGAGUGAGAGUUCUGCCAGGCACAGGCUGUGCUUCUUCAGACCCUGUGAAGCAGGUGCCAGCCCAGGGCACUGCCUCCUUCCUCUCCUGCUGCAUUCCCGCCUUUCCCCCUCUCUGACUCCCCUGGCACCGACUGCCUCAGACAGAUCCUCAGAGCCUCAUCCCCUCUGAGGCUGUUUCUCCCUAGGGAAUCUUAGUGCACGCCCCUGCGGGAGACUGUAAACCCCUGGAAAGCAGGAAUUAUGUCGCUGCUUUCAGUUUACCUCUCCCAGUACCUGACAUAACAUAACCCAAAAGGCCCAAGUCCCAGGAACAGACUUCCCCAUAAAAAUAGGGGGAAUCACAGAAUAGAAAUGUUCUGCAAAGUCUUCUUCAAAUAUGAUUAUUAUUCAGUCUUGAUUCUUAGCAGCUAAUAUUUAAAAUAGUCUCUUGUAUAUUAAAUAUAAUUCAUAAUUUGAAUCAGGGAGAAAGUAAGAAAAAGAAAGUUUUAACUAAGAAGGUAGUUAAAAAUUCUAGGCGUGUCUUUUUGGUAUUUUGUCAUUUUGUUAUCAUUAUCAGCAUGAUCAUAGUCUUUAUUAAAAAAUGAACCUGGCAAUCUGUACAAUGUAUUUAAAUGUCUUAGGAUUUGGCAGUCUCUGAAACGUGAAGGAUAAGCAAAUAUCAAGUCGUAAAUAUCUAAGCACUUUGCACAGGAAAUAAAGGCAGAAAGCCCAUUUCUCCCAUAAAAGGAAGCCACGCAAAGUCAGUUUGGGAAUAAAGCGAAUCUCAGAACCUUCUGCUGAAUCUGUAAUACAUUCAUCUCUUUUAACUUUGAGUCCAGUACUUAGCUCAAAUAGAGGACUUUUAAGUAUUUCCCGCAUUGGAUUAGUGGUGGUAAGAGAAACUCUGUUCUCCAGGUAGGAGAAGAUUGUAAAUCAGGGUCGCUGUGACUGAGACUCUGUCUCAAUCACAGAUGCUUGGUGUCUGAGGCUGUAAACUCAAGCAUGCUCCAUUCAAGUUUGAGCAUGAAUUAAACUGUGCAUGUUCUAGGAAUUUAUGCCUCAACCAAACAGUGAGCCUACCCUUUUACCUUUCAUUCCCAGCUUUAUUCCCAAGGAUUGUUUAUGUGCAUUGAGGGAAGGGUCCAGAGAAACAGCCAGUGAUAAUAUUGUGUGUCAAGAAAAGAACAGCACUUAGGGGGCUGGGGAUUUAGCUCUGCGGCAUAAGCGCCUGCCUUGCGAGCGUGUGGUCGUGAGUUCGGUCCCUGGCUGAAUAGAAAAUGUGCCUAAUUUUAAGAGUCCUAAGGUUAAGCAUUUCAGGAACUGUGACCUCAAGAAAAAACUGAGGUCAGAGUGGUACAGAUGGGAAUUAAGGGAAAGGAGGAUCAAUUUUUAUUAAGUCAGAAACUUUGCACAUGUUAUUCUCCUCCUCCUCCUUCCUUCUUAUGUUUACUGUGCUGGGGAUUGAAUCCAGGGUCUUUUGCAUGCUUGGCAAGCACUUUACUACUGAGCUUGCCCCAGCCUCUCUCACUGCUUCGAUGACAGUCUGUCUUCCUGAGUAGGUACGAUUAUUCCCGUGCAGAGCUUGAGGCUCUGAUAGUUUUGAUGGACUGAAGUCCCUGGCCUGCUGAUUGUGUCAAGCAGUGUGGAAGGGCUGGAGGUUCUUCAGUCUCUCGAUAGAUGCUUGGUUGUAAUCCAUGAGGCGUUGGUGACUGGGCCAGCCUUUCAGUUUUAUCAUCUGGUGUAAAGUGGAAUGGCUUGGCUGUCCCAGGAGAGGCAGGUGUUGGGGCGGUGGACUGGGAUACUUCAUUAGUCAGGGUUCUCCAGAGGAGCAGAAAAAUAAAUGAAGUGUCCUCGAUCCGGCAAUGUCUGUAUUACCGAGGUGAGUGGCAGACUGUUAGUGUCUUCAGAUGAUCCUGAGUUUAGCAAUGAAACCAGCUCCAGCCUAAGAAGAAGACGAUGCCCGAAGUCAUCCCUUCCGGUUCUGCCUUUUGUUUUAUUUUUUAUUUUGGAGGUAUACAACAGAACAAGACAGAACAAAGCCAAUCAAGACAAAGCAGUGAAACUGGUACAGAACUUCACAGCAGGUUACCGGGAUAACAGUAAUAGGAACGGCUGAUGUUGUGCAGAAAUUUCCUUUCUUGGGUUUCCUGAGCUCACGGGUCACAUUGCUUUUACACUGGGAUCUCUACCUGGCUCAGUAACCAAGGCAACAAAUCCCCAGUUAAUGACUGGCUAGAAAUUCGCUGUGGAGGAGGCUUAUUAGUUUGUUUUCUCCCAAGAGCUGGGAUAAAAGUGUGCUUGUGAUUUUUUCUUCAUCUAUUCCUCCUUCUAUCUUCCUUGCAAUUCAGACACCCUAAAGUCAAUUUAAUUAAAAUCAAUAGGUGAA